UCCCAUGUGCUCUAGUGGCUAGGAUACCUGGCUUUCACCCAGGAGGCCUGGGUUCGAUUCCCGGCAUGGGAA
rnacentral:tRNA from 1 species